AUUUCGAAGGCGCAAGUGUGUCCC
rnacentral:siRNA from 1 species